ACUGAUUUAAGAUAAGCUCGUGCAGGAUUAUGGUAGUUGGUGGGGUAAAAGCCUACCAAGCCGAAGAUCCUUAGCUGGUUUGAGAGAACGAUCAGCCACACAGGGACUGAGAUAAGGCCCUGGCUUUUUAGCCAGCAGUGAGGAAUUUUGGACAAUGGGCGAAAGCCUGAUCCAGUAAUACUGCGUGAAUGAGGAAAGCAAAAAAGAUUUUUAGGUUUUAUUACUUAUUAAUCGGUUGUAAAAUUAUUUCGCUAACGAAGAUAAUGACUUUAGUUAGAAAAGAAGCCCCGGCCAAUUUCGUGCCAGCAGCCGCGGUAAUACGAGAGGGGCUAGCGUUAUUCAGAAUGAUUGGGCGUAAAGGGUUCGUAGGCGGUAAUUGCUGUUACUGGUAAAAUUUUAAGUUUAUUUUUAAAACAGCCAGUAAUACACUUUUACUAGAGUAUAGGAGGGGAUAACAGAAUUUCAUACAUAGGGGUAAAAUCCAAUAAUUUAUGAAGGAAUGUCAGUGGCGAAAGCGGUUGUCUGGACUAUUUACUGACGUUGAGGAACGAAAGCGUAGGGAGCAAACAGGAUUAGAUACCCUGGUAGUCUACGCUGUCAAAGAUGAGUGUUAAUGCUGGGUUUUACCCGGCAUAAAGCUAACGCGUUAAGCACUCCGCCUGGGAAGUACGGUCGCAAGACUGGAACUCAAAGGAAUUGACGGGGGUCUACACAAGUGGUGGAGCAUGUGGUUUAAUG
rnacentral:rRNA from 1 species